UACGUAGGGUGCAAGCGUUAAUCGGAAUUACUGGGCGUAAAGCGUGCGCAGGCGGUUUGGUAAGUCAGAUGUGAAAUCCCCGGGCUCAACCUGGGAACUGCAUUUGAGACUGUCAAGCUGGAGUUUGGCAGAGGGGGGUGGAAUUCCACGUGUAGCAGUGAAAUGCGUAGAGAUGUGGAGGAACACCGAUGGCGAAGGCAGCCCCCUGGGCCAAUACUGACGCUCAUGCACGAAAGCGUGGGGAGCAAACAGG
rnacentral:rRNA from 1 species